rnacentral:lncRNA from 1 species
AUUAUUGUUGUUAUUAUUUUGCAGUACAGGGGAUUGAACCCAGAGGUGCACCACCACACCCAACUGAAUUACACAUUUUUUAAAGGGUGAGUUAUUUAUUAUGUGAAUUAUAGCUUACUUUAAAAAAAUACAUGCACAUGAAACAAUGGUAAAUGAUUUCAUACUUAAUAUCUCACACACCUGAGAAUGAUUGCUUGCCUGUGGUGGUUAGUCAAAGGAGAAUAAAAUUAGGAGCAAAAAUAAAUAAAAGAAUCAAACUUUUUGCAGGACAAUGAUUAAAAACAUGAAUUGUUGGUCAGUAGAGUCUUAGAUCUGGAAAAUAAAAAUUACAGGAGGUCAUCUUUUUGGACUAAGCGCAUGUACCCAACAGACCAGACUAAAAAUCACAAUGGAAUCACUCAUGCUAAAGUUCCAAGUCACCAAAUUGAAACUUAAGCUGUUUAUCUGUCCUUCCCAGAAACCAGGAUUAGAGAGAUAAUAGUUAAAUUUCACAAACAGUCCAGUUCAAUUGGCAUAAAAUGAAGUUCUCUCUUCCUUAAUCCUUACACAUAAAAAAAGUAGCCUGAUAUUAACCAAUCAGUUGUUUUUCUAUUAUUGUCUCUUUGUCAUGACCUUAUGAGGAAAGUAACUUUGAAAAGACCAAUCACCUCUUUGCUUUUUGUUUCUGCUUUCUUCAGCUGUCUGUCCAAAACCAACCUCCUCGGGUCACUGGAAUAUUCCAAUUUUAUGGAAUUAAGUAUCAUCCAAUUCUAGAAUAAAAACAAAGCCAACUAAGAGCAUUAAACUCAACUGAUAUAAUUGUGUCCUUUGACAGAUCCAUAGCUCCCAGAAACCACUCCCAACAGAGGUCCUUAUCUUGUCCACUUGCCUGGUUCUUCCAGGAAAAUAGUUCCAUUUUCAGUAUGCUCAUCAGUUUCAGCUUCUUUCCCUUCCUCUUCCACCUUUAAGGGCUUGGCCUCACACCCUGACACCCCUACACAAAGAGAGAGUCCUAUUAUCUUCUUUUUUUAAAUAUUUUUUUUAGUUGUAGGUGGACACCAUACCUUUAUUUUAUUUAUAUGUGGUGCCUUCCACAUGUGAGGCGAGCAUUCCACCACUGAGCUACAGCCCCAGCCCUAUCUUCUUUUCUUUUAUAACAGCUUUUGAUUCUAGGAAAAGCCCUGAUUGUUGAGAAAAAUUAAGCAGUUGCCUCUUUCUCAUGGAUAAGAGGCUCAAUAGGUACUACAAUGCUCUGAUCUCCACCACCUGGAAGGGAAGGCAAAUCUCUCCCCUACAGAUUAAAACAAAUUCCUUUGUUGUUGUUGCUGGGUAUCAACCCAGGGGUAAUACAUAGUGGUAGGCAAGUGCUCUACCAUGGAGCUACACCCCCAGCUCCAAGAUAAAUUACUUUUUUGUUUUAAAUAUUUAUUUUAUUGUUGUCAAUGGACAUGAUACCUUUAUUUUAUUAGUUUAUUUUUGUGGUGCCAGGGAUGGAACCCAGUGCCUCAUGCAUGCUAGAGCUCUACCACUGAGCUACAGCCCCAGCCCCAAGAUAAAUCACUUUUAAUGGAACAAAGAUAAACUGAGUUUGGUUUUGUAUCCAAACUUCAUACCUUACUUUACACAGGUAAUAAAAAUCCACUUAAACUACCUUAAACCAAGACAGGGAGUAUACUGCAGAAUACUAGACUAUCUCUUGGAACUCAAAGUUCAGAAGCAUAGUCAGAUUUCAAGAAAAGAAUAAAACAGGAACUGGAAAGAUGCCAGGAACCAAUAAUGAAGAUGGUCUUUCUCCCCUCCAUAUCAUCACUAUACCUCAGUUUCAAAUUAGUAGAAGGAAAAAACUGAUUGGUUCGACUAGGGUCAGGUAUCUCUUGGUCCAAGUAGCUAUUAGGGAAUUGGGGUUGGGUACAGUGUGGGAAUUGAAGGCAAAGUUUCCUACUAGAGAAAUUCACCCUGUGAACAGAGAGAACAAUUCUCAGAGAAGGGUGGUAAGCUGGCCAGGCAUUCCAGAAGGAAUUUAUUAAGUUUAAAAAAAAUCUCAUAUAUUUAUCAGCAAUUAAAACUUUACUUAAUUUCAAAAAGCCAAAAAUAUAUAGGCCAUAUUCUGUUGUCACAAUACAAUAAUAUCAGAAAUAAAGAAAUAAAAGUUUAAAUUAAGAAAGGUUGAACUUGAAAACACUUCAAUUAGGGAAUCAGGCCAAAACAGAAUUCAAGAAAAUUCACAACAUAAGAUGAUUUUAUUACAGAUCAAGAAAAGGUUAAAUAAAUCAAGAAUUCUCCUCAAGAAAUUAGAAAAGAAACCUAAAAAAUUCAAAUCUAAAGACAGAAGGAAGAAAUUGAGAAAGCUAACAGCAAAAGUAAUAGAAUUAAAUAAAUACAAAAUUAAUUGGAUUAGAUGAAGGGGAAUGAAGAGAAGGGAAGGGAGAUGGGUAUAGGAAAAACGGUAGAAUGAACUGGACAUAAAUUUCCUAUGUUCAUAUAUGACUACAUGGCCCAUGUAACUCCACAUCAUGUACAACCACAAGAAUGGGAAGUUAAAUUGAAUUUAUAUAUUUGAAUUAUAUGUUUCUCUACAAACAUCCAACAACAACAAAAAAGUCAGACCUCUAGCAAGUGUUCUUAAGAAAAAAUAAAUAUAGAAUAUUAAUUAUUAGAAGGGAGACUCAGAAGAGAGUUAAUAGGUAUAAAAGAAUGCCUUCUACAAAUUACUAUAAAUUUGUUUGAGAAGCUAGACUUUUUAUAGUGAUUUUAUAGAAACAUCAAUAUAAUGCAAAAAGGAGAGCUAAACAGAACAAUAAUCUUGGAAGAAUUGAAAUUGUCAUAAAAAACAAAGAUUGUGAAAUAGCCACUCAUGCUAUACAUCUCAGUCUUUCUAAAUGUUGGAGUAGACAAUGCUAAUGUUACUUAAAAUCAUAGAGAACACAGAAAGAGAUUAAUGAACUUCUAUUCAUUUUACUAAGCAAAUAUAGCUUUCACAUCAAAACUUCACAAAAGUAUAAAAAGCCAGUGUUACCUUUUCAUGUCUCAAGCUAAUAAUCCCCUUUCAGAUGUGUGUGGAGAAGGAGUUAGUUAAUUGCUAACAUCAUCCAUAAAUUAUGGAAUGGAAGGAGAUAAAUCUGGCCCAAGCCACAUCUGACCAAGGAACAGACAGUCAUCAUUGGACAUUGUAGACUCCACCACCAUAGCCAGAAUAGAUUUGGGGUUCUCCCCUUUCAGAGAAGAGGAGAAUGUAGUUGUGGUUGUACAUGGGAAUUCAAUAUUUCAUAAGCUUUUGAGGUAAAUAUGUAUUUAUGUAUGAAACAAAAAAAUUCAAAUCUUAAAAUAAUAUUUAACCUUAUAAAUAAGAUAUUCUGAUGCUUUCUGUUAUUCGUUUUCGAAAUUGUUAAACACAACACACUAAAUUGAUAUUAUUAUCUAUUCAUAGGUUAAAAUUCACCAUUGGAAGCAGGGAGAAGUGGGAGAACAUAAGGAGGUGCUAUCCAUGGGUAAAUGGGCAGCCAUGUGAGCAUUCGAGAGUGUGUGUGCAGACAUCACCUCUGAAGGUUGUCAUCACACAGAUGGGUUCUAAGUACCUGCUGAGCUCAUAGGCCCCUUCUCCUCUAGUGCCUUUUUCCACUCACAGCAGUGGGACACUUCUGUUGGUCACAUGGGGACCAGGGUUGGAACUGAAGCAGAAAGGAUUAUGGGUUUUGAGAAAUAACUCUUCAAUCUCAUAACAAGGACUUCUUUACUGCUUACACUGACUUGAGAUGGUUUCAAAACUUGCAACCAAAAGAGCUUUCAUUGUAUAAGCAUAGAGAAAAAAACUUUUGAAGUUUGACUUGUACCUUUCAAAUUAAUUAUAUUGCCUUAUUAAAUAUAUUAUCUUCCACUUCCUAGAGUUUGCAAACCAUGGCUCAUGAGCAAAAUCUAAAUUUUGGUUGUUUUUUCAUGCCAACAAACCAGAAUAAUUUUUAUGUGUUUAAAGGGUUGUAAAGAAAACAAAAACAAGCCAGGCAUGGUGGUGCAUCCCUGUAAUCCCAGAGACUCAGGAGGCUGAGGCAGGAGGAUCAUGAGUUUGAAACCAGCCUCAGCAACUUAGGGAGGCCCUAAGCAAUUUAGAGAGACCCUGUCUCAAAAUAAAAAUAAAAAGGCCUGGAGGUGUAGCUCAGUGAAUCGUUAAGAAUCCUUGGGUUCAGUCCCCAGAACUGAAAAAAUAAAAGAAAAACAAACAAAGAACAACAAAAAGAAGAUUGUGGCAGAAGCUGUGAAGCCUACAAUAUCUAAAAUACUGACUGACUGAACCCUUUUAGAGAAAGUUGAUGGUCCCUACUUCCUAUGUUUAACCUGUUGGUCUAUUUCUCUGUCAAAUAUUCAGAGUUAUGUUAAGUACUCAUGCUUCUAUUAAUUUUCUGUCAAUUUUUGCUUUGAUGCUCACAUUUUGGUACUCUCUUACUCAACACAUAAAAGUUUAUGAUGAUAUGCUUUGUGUUGAGUUUAUUUUGUCUAAUGAUGUUGUGUAAUUCUUGCUGUAUUUUUGUUUGUAUUAACCUAUGUUUACCCAUCCUUUAGACAAUACAUUUGAUUUUUUUAACUCAAUCUGAAAUUUUUGACUUAUAAGAAAGAAUAUAAUAGAGAGAGUAAAGUAUAUGCAUUUAUUGCUAUACUUGGUUUAUUGGGGGCUAUUUCUAUCACCUUAGUUCUUGCUUUCUGUUAAAGUUAAAAGUGAAAUGAGCUAGGCACACCUGUAAUCUCAGCAAUUUGGAAGGCUGAGGUGGGAGGAUUACAUUUCCAAACCCAGUCUCAGCAAUUUAGUGAGGCCCUAAGCAACUUACACUGACCCUAUCUCAAAAUAAAACAUUAAAAAAAAAAAGGCUGGGGAAUGGGGCUAAGUGGUCAAGCAUCCCUAGGUUCAAUCCCUAGUACCAAAAGAAAAGGUGAAAUGGUGUAUCAGCUAAGGUGCUUUUAUCUGCAAGUAAUUCCCUGCCCUUUCUUAAAGAAUAUGGAAGCAAAUAAAUACAUUCAAAGUUGCUCCACAUCUUAUGUCUUCAGGGAAAUGAAAAUUAAAACAAUAAGCAAUUCAUACCUAUCAGAAUGGCCAAAAUUUAGAAUACUGACAACACCAGAUAUUGACAAGGAUAUAGAAUAAUAGGAACUCUCUUAUGCAUUGCUGCUGAGAAUGCAAAAGUAUACAGCCACUUUGGAAAAAAAUUUGAAGUUUCUUACAAAUCCAAAAACUCUACUAUAUAAUCCAACAAUUGCACUCCUUGUCAUUUACCCCCAAAAGUUUAUACACACACACAUACACACAAUUUUUUUUUCAUCUUCCUCUCAAUUUUGCUCUGACUCUAAAACUGUGUACAAAAAAAAAAAUAUGUUUUUUAGGGCUGAAGAUGUAACUCAGUGGUAGAGCACUUGCCUAGCACGUACAAGGCCCUGGAUUCAAUCG